UGCUGCCCAGAGAACAGGAGGUCAAAUGUACAAGAACCAAGGCUCAAAGGACAGCCAGCACCAACUGCCAGACAUGAGAUACUUUCAGGGUGGCCAUGAGUAUUUAUGAGCUUAUGCUGCAGAAGGAAAUAAUGUCUUCAAGGUAGCUGAGACCAGCUUCUGAUGCCCAGAAAUCUGAUGUGAAAAAGUGUUAUGUGUGGCUGAAGAAACAGACUUUUCUCUCAGUUCCCUGAAACUCUCCUUCCUUCUUUCUCUCCUUUAAAACUCUUCUGCUUGGUAUGGAACUUUGGAGAUGGUCUUUGGACAUUAGCCUGCCGUCUUCCUGAAUAAAGCAAAAUUUCCUUUUCACCCAA